UCACGAAGGCGACAUCUUGGUCAGCAA
rnacentral:sRNA from 1 species